rnacentral:rRNA from 1 species
CUACGGGCGGCUGCAGUGGGGAAUAUUGGACAAUGGGCCACAAGCCUGAUCCAGCAAUUCUGUGUGCACGAUGAAGGUCUUCGGAUUGUAAAGUGCUUUCAGUUGGGAAGAAGAAAGUGACGGUACCAACAGAAGAAGCGACGGCUAAAUACGUGCCAGCAGCCGCGGUAAUACGUAUGUCGCAAGCGUUAUCCGGAUUUAUUGGGCGUAAAGCGCGUCUAGGCGGAAAAAUAAGUCUGAUGUUAAAAUGCGGGGCUCAACUCCGUAUUGCGUUGGAAACUGUUUUUCUAGAGUACUGGAGAGGUGGGCGGAACUACAAGUGUAGAGGUGAAAUUCGUAGAUAUUUGUAGGAAUGCCGAUGGAGAAGUCAGCUCACUGGACAGAUACUGACGCUAAAGCGCGAAAGCGUGGGGAGCAAACAGGAUUAGAUACCCCAGUAGUC